CCUACGGGUGGCAGCAGUAGGGAAUAUUGCUCAAUGGGGGAAACCCUGAAGCAGCAACGCCGCGUGGAGGAUGAAGGUUUUCGGAUUGUAAACUCCUUUUGUUAGAGAAGAUAAUGACGGUAUCUAACGAAUAAGCACCGGCUAACUCCGUGCCAGCAGCCGCGGUAAUACGGAGGGUGCAAGCGUUACUCGGAAUCAAUGGGCGUAAAGGGCGCGUAGGCGGGAUAGAAAGUGAGAUGUGAAAUCCUAUGGCUUAACCAUAGAAUUGCAUUUGAAACUGUCAUUCUAGAGUAUAGGAGAGGUAGGUGGAAUUCUUGGUGUAGGGGUAAAAUCCGUAGAGAUCAAGAGGAAUACUCAUUGCGAAGGCGACCUGCUAGAACAUAACUGACGCUGAUGCGCGAAAGCGUGGGGAGCAAACAGGAUUAGAUACCCUUGUAGUC
rnacentral:rRNA from 1 species